GNACAUGGGCGCAAGCCUGAUCCAGCCAUGCCGCGUGAGUGAAGAAGGCCCUCGGUUUGUAAAGCUCUUUUGUUGGGGAAGAAAAGCAUCCGGUUAAUACUCGGGUGUUCUGACGGUACCCAAAGAAUAAGCACCGGCUAACUUCGUGCCAGCAGCCGCGGUAAUACGAAGGGUGCAAGCGUUACUCGGAAUUACUGGGCGUAAAGCGUGCGUAGGUGGUUUGUUAAGUCUGAUGUGAAAGCCCUGGGCUCAACCUGGGAAUUGCAUUGGAUACUGGCAGGCUAGAGUGCGGCAGAGGGUAGUGGAAUUCCCGGUGUAGCAGUGAAAUGCGUAGAGAUCAGGAGGAACAUCCGUGGCGAAGGCGACUGCCUGGGCCAGCACUGACACUGAGGCACGAAAGCGUGGGGAGCAAACAGGAUUAGAUACCCUGGUAGUCCACGCCCUAAACGAUGCGAACUGGAUGUUGGGCUCAAUUUGGAGCUCAGUAUCGAAGCUAACGC
rnacentral:rRNA from 1 species